CCUGUACCAACAAUGCAACUGAUGGAGUAACGGAGAAGGUUAAUGGUUCCCUAUUAACGGAUUUAGGGUUAAAUAAUAAGACUUUGUGGUUGGCAAAUCCGCCACAUUUAAGGUCAAGUUAUGAGUACGAGUGAACGCUUCGGCAAGUAGCGAAGAAUCAUAUAUCACGCUUCCAAGAAAAGCUUCUAGGGUUAAUUGCAUGGUUGCCAGUACCGAGAACGAACACACGUAGUCAAGGAGAAUAUCCUAAGGUUAGCGAGUUAACAAUAGUUAAGGAACUCUGCAAAUUAACCCCGUAAGUUCGCGAGAAGGGGUGCUCAACUUAAAACUUGAGCCGCAGUGAAGAACGAGGGGGGACUGUUUAACUAAAACACAGCUUUAUGCUAAGGCGCAAGCCGAUGUAUAUGAGGUGACACCUGCCCAGUGCUGGAAGGUUAAGGAAGGGGGUUAG
rnacentral:rRNA from 1 species